rnacentral:rRNA from 1 species
GGGUGGCCAGCCACACUGGGAUUGAGAUACUGCCCAGACUCCUAAGGGAGGCAGCAGUCGAGAGGCAUCUGCAAUGGGCGAAAGCCCGACAGUGCGACGCCGCGUGGACGAUGAAGGCCUUCGGGUCGUAAAGUCCUGUCACAGGGGGGAGAACAACACCCAUCCAAAUAAGAUGGGUGUCUGACGUUGCUCCUGGAGAAAGACCCGGCUAACUCCGUGCCAGCAGCCGCGGUAAUACGGAGGGGUCGAGCGUUAUUCGGAUUCACUGGGCGUAAAGGGCGCGUAGGCGGGGUUGUGGGUCGAUCGUGAAAUCCACCGGCUCAACCGGUGAACUGCGGUCGAAACUACAACUCUUGAGCUCGGUAGAGGAAGGCGGAAUUCCUGGUGUAGCGGUGGAAUCCGUAGAUAUCAGGAAGAACACCGGUAGCGAAGGCGGCCUUCUGGGCCGGAGCUGACGCUGAGGCGCGAAAGCCGGGGGAGCGAACAGGAUUAGAUACCCUGGUAGUCCCGGCCGUAAACGAUGGGUACUAGGUGUAGGGGGUACUGACCCCCCCUGUGCCGCAGUUAACGCAUUAAGUACCCCGCCUGGGGAGUACGCGCGCAAGCGUGAAACUCAAAGGAAUUGACGGGGCCCCGCACAAGCGGUGGAGCAUGUGGAUCAAUUCGACGCAACGCGCAGAACCUUACCGGGGUUUGACAUGUACCGGACCGGCAUGGAAACAUGCCUUCCCUUCGGGGCUGGUACACAGGUGCUGCAUGGCUGUCGUCAGCUCGUGUCGUGAGAUGUUGGGUUAAGUCCCGCAACGAGCGCAACCCUCGUCGCCUGUUGCCAUCAGGUUAAGCUGGGCACUCUGGCGAGACUGCCCGCGAUAUGCGGGAGGAAGGCGGGGAUGACGUCAAGUCCUCAUGGUCCUUACAUCCCGGGCUUCACACGUGCUACAAUGGCCGGUACAAAGGGUUGCAAUACCGCGAGGUGGAGCCAAUCCCAAAAAGCCGGUCUCAGUUCGGAUUGGAGUCUGCAACUCGACUCCAUGAAGUCGGAAUCCUAGUAAUCGUGGAUCAGCAUGCCACGGUGAAUACGUUCCCGGGGCUUGUACACACCGCCCGUCAAGCCACGAAAGCUGGUAGUACCCGAAGUCGCUGAGCCAACCCGCAAGGGAAGCAGGCGCCGAAGGUAAGACCAGCGAUUGGGGCUAAGUCGGAACAAGGUA